rfam:Rattus norvegicus chromosome 3, whole genome shotgun sequence.
GGGGAUUUAGCUCAGUGGCAGAGCGCUUGCCUAGCAAGCACAAGGCCCUGGGUUCGGUCCCCAGCUCCA